UACAGAGGUCUCGAGCGUUGUUCGGAUUCAUUGGGCGUAAAGGGCGCGUAGGCGGCGGGGCAAGUCGGGUGUGAAAUCUCAGAGCUCAACUCUGAAACUGCACUCGAUACUGCUUUGCUUGAGGACUGGAGAGGAGAUUGGAAUUCACGGUGUAGCAGUGAAAUGCGUAGAUAUCGUAAGGAAGACCAGUGGCGAAGGCGGGUCUCUGGACAGUUCCUGACGCUGAGGCACGAAGGCCAGGGGAGCAAACGGG
rnacentral:rRNA from 1 species